rnacentral:rRNA from 1 species
CGCGUAGGCGGACUGGAAGGUUGGGGGUGAAAUCCCGGGCUCAACCUCGGAACUGCCUCCAAAACUAUCAGUCUAGAGUUCGAGAGAGGUGAGUGGAAUUCCGAGUGUAGAGGUGAAAUUCGUAGAUAUUCGGAGGAACACCAGUGGCGAAGGCGGCUCACUGGCUCGAUACUGACGCUGAGGUGCGAAAGUGUGGGGAGCAAACA